AGCUCGUUCCGUGAGGUGUUGGUUUAAGUCCCGCAACGAGCGCAACCCUUAUUGCUAUUUGCCAUCACAUAUUGGUGGGCACUCUGGUGAGACUGCCCGGGUCAACCGGGAGGAAGGUGGGGACGACGUCAAGUCAUCAUGGCCCUUACGCCCAGGGCUACACACGUACUACAAUGGUGCAUACAAAGGGCAGCGAGACCGCGAGGUUUAACCAAUCCCAGAAAAUGCAUCCCAGUCCGGAUCGGAGUUUGCAACUCGACUCCGUUUUUUUGGAAUCGCUAG
rnacentral:rRNA from 1 species